CAUGUAUAUAACAAACGCAACAAACCCUCCAAACCUGCAAUUGUUACAUCAAUUAUCGGUGCUUAUCUUGGUGUUAAAAGGGUAAGUAGUAUAUGUUCGGUUAGUACUAUACAUUAUCUGCAUGCGCAUACUUACCAUUGCCAUUUGUAGGCGGUGAAAAUGGAGAGAUAACCGGGGUUUAGAACUGUUGGUCUGAGCUUGGUGGUGAGGGUCUCUAUAAUAGCCACGACAAAGUAUACCAAAGCUAUUCUCUGUAUGAAAACACAAUAGCUGAUGUUAAGAGAGAGACAUUCUAGUUUCCCUUUUCUUUUCUUUUUUUUUCUUAUUUUUUUUUUUUUUUUUUGGAUUUUUUCAGACUGAAGUUGGACUUAAUUUUUUAUAAAUUGAGACAAUUUACUUCCAAUAGAAGGACGUGAAGUUAUCACCUGGAGGAUGCCGCACCAUCUGAUUUGCUUCAUGUUAACUCCAUAGGACAGAUCAUCUGGUGCAUGAGAGUAUCCUCCUGCAAUAUGACAAUUUGUCACCCAUUUCCAUAAUAGUCCAUUCAGUAAUGUAGCAGCCAAAAAUCCCUACUUCAGGGUGUUCAUGGAUCAUGCCACAAUGUAAAAUAAGGCGACAGUAUCUAAGAAGCUUAACGAGUGUAUUUUACUCACGAGUUUAUGCAAAAUUUAACUUGAUUUUAAGCUAGAAUUCACGAGUAUAGAAAGUUUUAAUGUGUGUAUUAAUGUUGUUUUAUAGGUUUGUCGAGAUGGCAAAGGAUACGAAGAAAGAUCAUUAAAUUGAAGUUAGUAGCACGGACAAAAAAGUUGUAACACAGGGGAAAAAUAGACAAAGCAAAGAUGGGACGAAUGACACCAAAAAUCAAGAAAUCAAGAAGAACCAGAGUGUGGGCGCCGUGGCGCCAAGACAAAAAAAGGGUGGCGCUGCGGCGCUACACCUUGGGCACCGCGGCGCCAUACCGUAAAGUGACGUAGCGCCAUGCACAAUUUCGCUAGGGCGCAAUUUUCGGCCCGUUUUGGAGUCCAUGCGAGAAACCUACUAUUUCCACACCGCAACUGCAAGGGACCUAUAAAUACCUUUUUUUCUGAGACUUUUGGGGGUUCCACACGUUCUAAAGGCAAAAACACUUCUUGGGAGAAGAGGGAGAGAUUCAAAGGGAGAAAAUAAUGCCAAAUUAAUUGUCUGAAGCAUAAAUUAGAAGAAAAAGGAAUUCUUGGUGUAAGAUCCACCUUUUAUUUUACAUAUUUAAUUCUGAAUCCGGUGAUGUACUCUAAAACAAAUUGUUGUUGCUCUUCUUUUAUUAUACGUAGCUAAAUCCAUUGUUAGGGCAAAUAAUGUAACCCAUUUGAAAUCCUUUAUAUUUUCUUAUUAAGAUUCUUGGUUUUUAAUUUUUCCAGCUAUGAAUUGAUU
rnacentral:lncRNA from 1 species